rfam:Danio rerio chromosome 4, GRCz11 reference primary assembly.
GUCAGGAUGGCUGAGGGAUCUAAGGUGCUGCGUUCAGAUCGCAGUCUCCGCUGGAGGCGUGGGUUCAAAUCCCACUUCUGACA